AGUGAACGCUGGCGGUAGGCCUAACACAUGCAAGUCGAACGGCAGCACAGUAAGAGCUUGCUCUUACGGGUGGCGAGUGGCGGACGGGUGAGGAAUACAUCGGAAUCUACUUUUUCGUGGGGGAUAACGUAGGGAAACUUACGCUAAUACCGCAUACGACCUACGGGUGAAAGCAGGGGAUCUUCGGACCUUGCGCGAUUGAAUGAGCCGAUGUCGGAUUAGCUAGUUGGCGGGGGAAAGGCCCACCAAGGGGACGAUCCGUAGCUGGACUGAGAGGAUGAUCAGCCACCCUGGAGCUGAGACACGGUCCAGACUCCUACGGGAGGCAGCAGUGGGGAAUAUUGGACAAUGGUGGCAAGCCUUAUCCAGCCAUACCGCGUGGGUGAAGAAGGCCUUCGGGUUGUAAAGCCCUUUUGUUGGGAAAGAAAAGCAGCAGGUUAAUACCCCGCUGUUCUGACGGUACCCAAAGAAUAAGCACCGGCUAACUUCGUG
rnacentral:rRNA from 1 species